rnacentral:lncRNA from 1 species
GGUGGUCGUUUUCUUUCUAACAUCACCUUUGCCAUCUAAUAAUGGGGCGAGGUGUUGCUCCAUACUGCCGUGCAAUGUUGUGUUCCGUCUUUUGUUUGGUUUCUUUAGAAGGUUGUGUUUCUUUAAUCUUUCAUGUGAAAACUGUAAGUUCUUGUAAGACCUUCUACUCUUACUUUUAAGGUCUAGAAGUGUAGGGAGCUUCGUCGCAUUUGGUACUCUGACCUCGACUCAAGGCAUGCGCUUAGGGAACUCCAU